rnacentral:lncRNA from 1 species
GGUGCGCAUAGGGCGCGAAAACGGGACCCGAAAGACUAUGUUGGAUCAUGGACUAAAUCCGGCAUUAGCGUGGAUGAAAAGAUGAUGAAAACAUGCUUGAAAACAUAUUUGGAGAGUCUCGGUUCGAUUUGAAAUGAAUCGGAGGUCAAACGAGCGAAAACGAGCGAAAACGGACGAAAAUUGGUGAAAAUGCUGAAAAAUUUGCUAAGUCCUGAAAAAAGGCUGUGUACCGGUGACAGGAUUUAGUGUACCGGUACGCAGUGUAAAAUCCGAGAAGAUGGCUCUCGGGUUUGGCUGUUGUGCGAGUCGUGUACCGGUG